GGGGAUGAAAGGAUUUCGACGGGGAUUUUGAACCGUGAUAAGCGAGCAGUGGUGCGGAACCACUUUAAAAGCCGUAGUUUAUAAAAAUAAACGACAAUAAUACUCAGUUAAUGGCUGCCUAAGUGCGGCCCAUCCUUCCCGGAAGCACUGCGGUCCGGAUAAGGGUGUCGAUCAGCAGUGAACGUGAAUGAAUGAGUAGCCUUGCAAUUCAUCAUGACCUAAAGGAUACCGUAAAGGAAAGCCUGUUUGUCGGCGUUUCUUGAGGGGAAUCUUAAAAGAUAAACUACGCUCGUAGAAAUUCGCGGGAAUUGAUUUUCGGACGCGGUUUCGAUUACCGCCAUCUCCACCA
rfam:Ruminococcus sp. CAG:563 genomic scaffold, scf90